GUCACUUCUGUUUGUCUCAGUUUCUUCAUCUGUGAAAUGAAGUGAUUGCACUCAAUGGCCUGUUCAGUUCCUACUGGCUCCAAACUCAUGAUCCUAUGGAAUACAAAAUAACCUUGGGGGUAACCGACAGGACUUAAUAUGGUCAAAAGAAAUCGCCUCUUUUUUCCUCCUAGCAAGAGGUUCCUGUUGUCUUGUCGGAUGCAUGCUGAAGUUCACUGGCAAACUGUGGAUGAGUUGAGAUGGAAAGAGUACAUUCUGUUGCCUGAAUGGCCCAGGGUUCCAACAGAAAAAGACUGCUGGUUGUUAACAACAGUCAGAAACGAUCUUCAGAGUUGGAUAUCUGCUGCCUAUUGAAGGAGCCUGAAGCAAAACCAGGCACCAGCUGAAAUCAGCAGUGGAAGUUCAGACCUAUUUGCCAAACAGACAGGAGUAGAAUACUAAGGAAAAGAAAAGAAAAAAACUCCAAAGCAAGACCGUGCUCUUAACUUCAUCCUUUGAGCUCCCAGGGGAGAGAGGGCAAAAGAAGAUGGCUGCAGGGAUCAGUACAUAUUGUUUCCCCAACUAAAAAAACAACUCCACAUACAUCCUGCUUGGUCAGUUCGGUGGCUCAGUCUGGAGAGACAUCUUUAUCUGUCAAAGACAGCACAUGGCAACCCCAUUAUACUCCAUAUUUUGGACUCACUGGAAUCCAGGAAGCAAACUAUUUCAUCCUAACAUAGUUAGCCAACCAGCUUCCCUCCUGUUCCAUAUGGAUUCAUUUGAUGCAAGAACCUGGUAUAUAAAGAAUACUAGAUUUGGAAUCAGAGGACCUGGGUUCAAAUUCUGGCUUCACCGCUUUACCACCUUUG